UACGUAGGGAGCGAGCGUUGUCCGGAAUUACUGGGUGUAAAGGGAGCGUAGGCGGGGCGGCAAGUCAGGUGUGAAAUUUAUGGGCUUAACCCAUAACCUGCAUUUGAAACUGUCGCUCUUGAGUGAAGAAGAGGUUGGCGGAAUUCCUAGUGUAGCGGUGAAAUGCGUAGAUAUUAGGAGGAACACCAGUGGCGAAGGCGGCCAACUGGGCUUUUACUGACGCUGAGGCUCGAAAGCGUGGGGAG
rnacentral:rRNA from 1 species